ACACAUGCAAGUCGAACGGAGCACCCUUGAUUGAGGUUUCGGCCAAAUGAUAGGAAUGCUUAGUGGCGGACUGGUGAGUAACGCGUGAGGAACCUGCCUUUCAGAGGGGGACAACAGUUGGAAACGACUGCUAAUACCGCAUGACGCAUUUUGAUCGCAUGGUCGAAAUGCCAAAGAUUUAUCGCUGAAAGAUGGCCUCGCGUCUGAUUAGCUAGUUGGUGAGGUAACGGCCCACCAAGGCGACGAUCAGUAGCCGGACUGAGAGGUUGACCGGCCACAUUGGGACUGAGAUACGGCCCAGACUCCUACGGGAGGCAGCAGUGGGGAAUAUUGGGCAAUGGGCGCAAGCCUGACCCAGCAACGCCGCGUGAAGGAAGAAGGCUUUCGGGUUGUAAACUUCUUUUAAGUGGGAAGAGUAGAAGACGGUACCACUUGAAUAAGCCACGGCUAACUACGUGCCAGCAGCCGCGGUAAUACGUAGGUGGCAAGCGUUGUCCGGAUUUACUGGGUGUAAAGGGCGUGCAGCCGGGCAUGCAAGUCAGAUGUGAAAUCUCAGGGCUUAACCCUGAAACUGCAUUUGAAACUGUAUGUCUUGAGUGCCGGAGAGGUAAUCGGAAUUCCUUGUGUAGCGGUGAAAUGCGUAGAUAUAAGGAAGAACACCAGUGGCGAAGGCGGAUUACUGGACGGUAACUGACGGUGAGGCGCGAAAGCGUGGGGAGCGAACAGGAUUAGAUACCCUGGUAGUCCACGCUGUAAACGAUGGAUACUAGG
rnacentral:rRNA from 1 species